AUUGAACGCUGGCGGCAGGCCUAACACAUGCAAGUCGAGCGAGCGGCGGACGGGUGAGUAAUGUCUGGGGAUCUGCCCGAUAGAGGGGGAUAACUACUGGAAACGGUAGCUAAUACCGCAUACUAUCGGAUGUACCCAUAUGGGAUUAGCUAGUAGGUGGGGUAACGGCUCACCUAGGCGACGAUCUCUAGCUGGUCUGAGAGGAUGACCAGCCACACGGGAACUGAGACACGGCCCAGACUCCUACGGGAGGCAGCAGUGGGGAAUAUUGCACAAUGGGCGCAAGCCUGAUGCAGCCAUGCCGCGUGUAUGAAGAAGGCCUUAGGGUUGUAAAGUACUUUCAGCGGGGAGGCGUUACCCGCAGAAGAAGCACCGGCUAACUCCGUGCCAGCCGCCGCGGUAAUUC
rnacentral:rRNA from 1 species